GAUUUCGUAGCUCAGCUGGGAGAGCGCCACCCUGACACGGUGGAGGUCGCUGGUUCAAGUCCAGUCGGAAUCA
rnacentral:tRNA from 1 species